rnacentral:tRNA from 1 species
UAGGGUUUAGGUUAAUUAAACCAGUUGCCUUCAAAGCAAUAAAUGGGCACCAUAAAUGUUCAACCCUAA